rnacentral:rRNA from 1 species
UACGAACUGUGCAAACGUUAUUCGGAAUCACUGGGCUUAAAGGGUGCGUAGGCGGCUUGUUAAGUAGGGUGUGAAAUCCCCCGGCUCAACCGGGGAAUUGCGCCCUAAACUGGCGAGCUGGAGUGAGAUAGGGGUGUGUGGAACUUCCAGUGGAGCGGUGAAAUGUGUUGAUAUUGGAAGGAACGCCAGUGGCGAAAGCGACACACUGGGUCUCAACUGACGCUGAGGCACGAAAGCCCAGGGGAGCAAACGGG